rnacentral:lncRNA from 1 species
AUGGCCCAGUUUGUCUAAAACAUUACUGAGAAGGCCCCAACACCACCAACGAACACUGCUGUGACUUACUUGAAAACCUGGUUGGCUAUAUUUUGGCACUGUGCCAAGGUUGAGCUGGUUCCUCCAAGUCCUGCUUAGAUUCCUAGUUAUUCAGAGCUUUAAAAAAAAUAGCUGGUAACUCUCAAACUGAUAGCUUCAAACAGCUCACAGUUAAGGAAGCUAUGCUGAAUGGUUUGGUGGCCACUGAGGUGUGGAUGUGAUUUUAUAUCCAAGAGCACAAAGGCAAACAUGGCAUCACUGGCUAUAAUGUUUGAA